rnacentral:tRNA from 1 species
GCGGGUGUAGUAUAACGGCUAUUAUGUGGCCUUCCCAAGGCUAAGACGCGGGUUCGACUCCCGCCACCCGCACCA